rnacentral:rRNA from 1 species
AGAGUUUGAUCAUGGCUCAGAACGAACGCUGGCGGCGCGCCUAACACAUGCAAGUCGAGCGGCCUCUUUCGGGGGGCAGCGGCGGACGGGUGAGCAACGCGUGGGAACCUGCCCUGGAGCCUGGAAUAGCAGCGGGAAACUGCUGGUAAGACCGGAUACGCCCCGUGAGGGGGAAAGACUUGUCGCUCUGGGAUGGGCCCGCGUCCGAUUAGCUAGUUGGUGGGGUAACGGCCUACCAAGGCUGCGAUCGGUAGCCGGUCUGAGAGGAUGAUCGGCCACACUGGGACUGAGAUACGGCCCAGACUCCUACGGGAGGCAGCAGCAAGGAAUUUUCGGCAAUGGGGGCAACCCUGACCGAGCAACGCCGCGUGAACGAAGAAGUCUUUCGGGAUGUAAAGUUCUUUUCCCGCUGAAGAAAGAAAGACGGUAGGCGGGGAAUAAGCAUCGGCUAACUACGUGCCAGCAGCCGCGGUAAUUC